GAGGUAAUACUGAUUGGUCAGUGCGCGAGCUGUAAACUCGUGAGCCUUGUGCUCCUCGGGGGUUCGAAUCCCUCUUACCUCA